CUACGGGUUGCUGCAGUCGGGAAUAUUGGACAAUGGGGGAAACCCUGAUCCAGCCAUGCCGCGUGUGUGAAGAAGGCCCUAGGGUUGUAAAGCACUUUUAGUAGUGAGGAAGGCUCAGUAGCUAAUACCUACUGGGAUUGACGUUAGCUACAGAAAAAGCACCGGCUAAUUUCGUGCCAGCAGCCGCGGUAAUACGAAAGGUGCAAGCGUUAAUCGGAAUUACUGGGCGUAAAGCGCGCGUAGGCGGCUUGGUAAGUUGGAUGUGAAAGCCCCGGGCUCAACCUGGGAACUGCAUCCAAAACUGCCUAGCUAGAGUAUGGUAGAGGAUGGCGGAAUUUCCUGUGUAGCGGUGAAAUGCGUAGAUAUAGGAAGGAACAUCAGUGGCGAAGGCGGCCAUCUGGACCAAUACUGACGCUGAGGUGCGAAAGCGUGGGGAGCAAACAGGAUUAGAUACCCUCGUAGUC
rnacentral:rRNA from 1 species